rnacentral:rRNA from 1 species
AUUGAACGCUGGCGGCAGGCCUAACACAUGCAAGUCGAGCGGAUGAAGGGAGCUUGCUCCUGGAUUCAGCGGCGGACGGGUGAGUAAUGCCUAGGAAUCUGCCUGGUAGUGGGGGAUAACGUCCGGAAACGGGCGCUAAUACCGCAUACGUCCUGAGGGAGAAAGUGGGGGAUCUUCGGACCUCACGCUAUCAGAUGAGCCUAGGUCGGAUUAGCUAGUUGGUGGGGUAAAGGCCUACCAAGGCGACGAUCCGUAACUGGUCUGAGAGGAUGAUCAGUCACACUGGAACUGAGACACGGUCCAGACUACUACGGGAGGCAGCAGUGGGGAAUAUUGGACAAUGGGCGAAAGCCUGAUCCAGCCAUGCCGCGUGUGUGAAGAAGGUCUUCGGAUUGUAAAGAACUUUAAGUGGGGAGGAAGGGCAGUAAGUUAAUACCUUGCUGUAUUGACGUUACCAACAGAAUAAGCACCGGCUAACUUCGUG